CAGCUUUGCAUAUCCUUUGGCUGCCGUUAGGGUAGCAGUAGGGAAUCAUCGCUGAUGGCACACAGCUGUGAAGUUAAAUCCCCACAGAGGGAGGUCUGGAGGAGCAGCCACAAUGCCCCACCUCCCGCAGAGACCAUAUAGAGCCGGGCCAGCAAAGCUGCUGUACUUUAGUAUGGUCCCUAAAAGGUGCCCCAGGCUGAGAUGAAUCAUAGCAGGUGCACAGCUGUGCUCUACUGAUGACUUUGCCUUUACAGCCUGCAGCAUCAUGGGGCCACACAGAUGCUUCAGUUCCAGCUGCUGGUGGGAGAAGGUCCAAGAUCUUGCCUCUGGCUUGGAGUCUUUCAGAAUGAUCGCCUGCAGAAGAACAAGAAGGCAAAGGCCACCAAAACGGCUUUUUGGCAUGAUUUACUUGCUGCAAUGCCUGUGACAAUGUGCAUUAAUUUCACUGGGGGUGAACAGAAAUGCACAGAGGCUAUUGAAUGUUGGGUUGUCCCUAGGCAUGUCUGAAUUGAAUCCCGAAGGACAUGACCUGGCCUUGGUAUCCACAGAGUGUUGGAGGUUGAGGUUCCAGGAUAAACCUGGGGUCAGCUUUAAUUCCUCAAGGGAGACUGGACUAGGUUCCUCUGGGAAAACACCCAGGCAGAAUAUGGGCUCCCAGGUUAUAAGGAUCCUUCAUAAAAGACAGAAGUCUCUUGAAGAAACUUAACCCCCAACAUAACCAACCUUACUAUAAUUUUUUAACCAUAAAUGAUUUAAAGAGCAGCUAGUCCAUAAUCUUAGCUUUUAUUAAAAAUAAGUUGUUGCUUUGUCAUGAAGACAUUAAUAAAACAUUUUCUUUUGUAGCAUAUUUUAAGCAAGUUACUUACAGCUCUCUGCCACAGUCUAGCAGGCUUCAUUUUGUUUUCCUCAGAGCAAAGAUGGAAUUCAGAGGUGGAACAACAAACUAAUUCAUGAAGUUUUGUGACAAUGGCCUGACAGACCGAAAUUCUACAUUUCCAACUUUAUUUGCAGUCGCUGGUUAUUCUGGUCAUUUAAAGAGAUGCAAUCUGCUACUAGGACAGUAUAGGAGUAGCUGGUACCAAACGUGUGUGCAAAUCUAAAAAUGGACCUGAGAGCUCAAUAAAAAUUCUUGGCACGGCCCAGCUAUUUGGUUUGGCCUUUCUGUGCAGGUCUACUCCACUUCUUCCAACAGUGUUGUUGUAUCAUCAGAAUCCAAGUACAGUGGCAGUAAACCGCCUUGAGAGCAAAGUGGACUUGGGGCAAAGUCCCAGGAUGCUACAGCAAGGGUGUGGUGGGCACUGCCAGCUGAUGUAAACACACAGGCAUGGUGUGCUUGAUGAGCUCCUAUCUGACCUUGAAUCCAUAGCUGUGUGGGGAGAGCAACCAGCUGCUGAGCUCCAAGUGCAGAAGAUGCCAAAAUCCACAAAAAAGUGUGACAAUCCUCAACGAAAGUUGACUCAUCGGCAUACCACAAGGUUACUAAAAUGGCAUACUGUUGAGUUCUCCUCUAACACGGCAUCUUGGAAGUGUACGGGCUGGUUUCUGCUGUGUUUUUCCUUCAAGGAUGGAGCCAAAGGGUUACUCAGACUGUAGCCUAACUGGCCUAGGAAGCAGCAAGUACACAGUACAUUUAAAAUGUUGGAUACAUUUAUCUCUUGGUCUGUUCCUGGGUGGCAGCCCUCUGACCAUCUGCCCUCUGUGCCUCUUGGCCUGGGCACCAGGGAUGGCAUCCUGCUGUAGGUGCUGCUGGGGAUGUGCACAAGGCUACCUAGGAAAGCUGAAAAC
ensembl:lncRNA